AUUGAACGCUGGCGGCAGGCUUAACACAUGCAAGUCGAGCGGAGCGGCGGACGGGUGAGUAAUGCCGAGGAAUCUGACUGGUAGUGGGGGAUAACGACCGGAAACGGGCGCUAAUACCGCAAACUAAUAGAUGAGCCUAGGUCGGAUUGGGUCGUUGGUGGGGUAAAGGCAUACCAAGGCGACGACCCGUAACUGGUCGGAGAGGAUGACCAGUCACACUGGAACUGAGACACGGUCCAGCCUCCUACGGGAGGCAGCAGUGGGGAAUAUUGGGCAAUGGGCGCAAGCCUGAUCCAGCCAUGCCGCGUGUGUGAAGAAGGUCUUCGGAUUGUAAAGCACUUUAAGUUGUGAGGCGUUACCAACAGAAUAAGCACCGGCUAACUUCGUGCCAGCAGCCGCGGUAAUUC
rnacentral:rRNA from 1 species